GACGUAGGGCGCGGAGCGUUGUCCGGAUUUAUUUGGGCGUAAAGAGCUACGUAGGCGGUGUGUCGCGUCGGGAUGUGAAAGCCCGGGGCUUAACUUCGGGUCUGCAUUCGGUACGGGCAUGCUGGAGUUCGGUAGGGGAGACUGAAUUCCUGGUGUAGCGGUGAAAUGCGCAGAUAUCAGGAGGAACACGGUGGCGAAGGCGGGUCUCCUGGGCCGAUGACUGACGCUGAGGAGCGAAGCGUGGGGAGCGAACAGG
rnacentral:rRNA from 1 species